CUUACCACCUCCUGUCAUCCUGGUCCAAAUCCCCAUUGUCUUGCACCUGAUUAAUUGUGUUACCUCCUGCCUUUCUUCUUGCCCAUCUGCCUAUUCUCAAAGGGCAUCCACAUUUAUCUUUCAAACUCAGGUCAGAUAUGGUAAUACCCAGUCUCUUAAUGGUUCUCAAGACUUUCCCCAGUAUCUAGCUCCCGGCACUUCUUCUCCCUCGUUCCUCCAAUUCUCCCCUUUUCUCACCCCACAUUGCCCUCUUUAUUCUCUGAAUAUGCCAGGCACAUUCCUGCCUCAGGGUCUUCCUCUUGCUCUUCCUCUGCCUGGAAUGUCCUUCUUCCAGAUAUCUCAUUCAAGUCUGCUAGAAGGUCACUUUCUAGGAGGGGCCUUCCAUGAUCAUUCUAUUUAAAAUCAUACUCCCACCUUGUAUUCCUAAUUUUCCUUCCCCGGUUUAUUUUUUUCCAUAGCACUUAUGUAUAGCUUACUUGUUUAAAAAAGUUCUGUUUUGUCUUCACUAGAAUGCAAUACCUGUAAAAGUGCCUUGUACAUAUUAAAUAUUCAAUAAAUAUUUGUUAAAUGGGUGAAUAAAUAGUAUCUUCAACUACUUUUUUUCAGUCAAAUAUAUACUAAUUGUCUGCCCUGCACAUAGCACUGAGCCAAAGAAUGAAGACAUAGCAGCAGGUCAGCAGAUAGUCCCAUUUGUACCCUGGCAAUCUAGUGAAGCAAACACAGACAGAACUAGCUAACAAUAAUGAUGUGUCAAAGAAAUACCUAGCAAUUUAUAUGUAAAGCACUAGUUAUAUAGAGGCCAAAGAGAACAUUUCUACCUUUGGUAGACAAUGAAGAGAGGAUGUUGGAGUUAGCUUUGAAAGACAGGUAGGACUUGAAUAGGCAAAGAAGGGCAGAGGUUGGGGCAUUCUAGGCAGGUGAAGAGUAUGAGCAAAGCUCUAGAAACACAGAGAGAAGUGUGUGUGUGUGUGUGUGUUUGCAGGGGGAACAGAGGUUUGGUGAAGAGGUUAGUUUUUUAGGGUGGAAGGAAGUAGGGCAGUUAUAGUGGGAACCCUAGACUGGAGCCAGGUUGUGAAACAUCUUCAAUGUGAGUCUAAACCAUUGGGUUUUUUAUUUGACAGAUAGAGAGCCAUUAAAGGGUUGAUUUCUUUGGAGAUUUGUUUUAAAUGAAGGAAUGUGGUGUGUAAAGAGGUAAUUCAGGAAUAUUGUUUUGGCAACACUGGCUGUGGGAGAUUCUAGAUGGAGGCUGAGUUAAGAGACUGUAGCAAUAGUUUAGUUUUUUGGUUUUUUGUUUGUUUGUUUGUUUGUUUUUUGAGACAGAGUCUCGCUCUGUCACCCAGGCUGGAGUGCAGUGGUGCAAUCUCAGCUCACUGCAACCUCCGCCUCCCAGGUUCAAGCGAUUCUCCUGCCUCAGCCUCCCAAGUAGCUGGGAAUACAGGCAUGUGCCACCAUGCCCAGCUAAUUUUUGUAUUUUACUAGAGACGGGGUUUCACCAGAUUGGUCAGGAUGGUCUUGAACUCCUGACCUUGUGAUCUGCUCGCCUCGGCCUUACUAAGUGCUGGGAUUACAGGUGUGAGCCACUUCCCCCAGCCCAAUAGCCUAGUUUUUAGCCAUGGCAAUUCUCAGUGUGGGAGGGGCAAUAGGAAGGAAGGGAUGAAGAGAGGGAAGUCACACGGGAGAACUUGACAGGGCUUGCUGGUCUUAUUAUAUAAUUUAGAAUUAAUUAUUUACAUAGACAAAGAAAUGACAAUUGCUCAAAGCAGAGUCACAGUAUAAACAGAUGUUAUGUGAGAAUAUUUUAGAGCUUCUCAUAUGGAUCCAAUUCAGGCAGGCAGUAAACCAUGCCAAAAUAUGCAGGCAUUGGAUGCUGUAAUUGUAUAGAACUACUACAAGAUGCAAACUUGAACACUAUAGACUCAUUUUAACUUGUGAACCAAGUUUGAACUGUCUGGAGGGAGAAAGCAUAUAUGCUAUGUUGUCUCCUUUAAGACUGGUAAUAAAGGGAAAAUAGAAAAAUGGAAUUAAAAAAAUUCUAUCCUCUUUUUUAGACAUAUCCAAAGAUUUAGGUUAAAUAACAAAAUUUAGAAAAACCAAAAGUGGUAUUUGAAUGGCUUUUGCACAUCUUAAUAACUUUCUGAAAUCAAAUUGGUAUAAGAAUAGUUGUAUCUGGAAAGGGUUAGGAGGAAAAAAGGCUAUUGUUCAUCUUUUAGAUUUAAGCACAUUUUAAAGUGAGAGCUUAAAUAAAAACAAAGAACUAUAAAGUGAGUGAGAGCUCAAGUUUAAAAAAUGAGAGCUCCUAUACAAAAUAGAGGGGUUUGGUCUUAUAUCAGGGAUGGGAUGCAAAACUAAAUACACUGUCUAUGGUGCAUUCAUUAGAGAACCAAAAGACAUGUACCACUUAUAUUUAUGCUUUGGAGAUUGCUAGCUGUUGUUCACUUAUACCCACUUGUUUCAUUUUUGCUAGUGACUUCUGAAACUACUUAAAUUCAGCCUUAGGCUUCUGAGGUUUGUGGGAUAGUGAAAGCUGAAGAAAGUGAGAGGGAAAUCUGACCAAAUCUCCCAGGCACAAUUUCCCAGGCAGAAGCUAGAAUUAAAAUAUACGUUCUUAUUCCUGUUCUUAGGUAGUUAUUCUUCCUGUUAUACUCUACUUUUAUGCAGAAAAGUAAAAAAGCAAAAGAAAUUGCUCAGCUAUCAAACCAGUGCGUGUAGCACUGAAAAAGAGAAAUAUUAUGUCCUAUCAAUUUUUCCAUCUCCCACUUAACACACAUACAUUUUUCCUUUACUUUUGUCAGUCUCUUCUACCUCUUUAAAAAUUUAUUUUCCUUAACCUCCUCCUCAAUCAACCAGUCAUUCGCCUUUGUGAGAUUAUAUGAUAUUGUGGACAGUAUAUGUACAAGCAUACCACAGAGAUACUGUAGAUUCAGUUCCAGGCCACUGCAGUAAAGCGAAUAUUGUAAUAAAGCAAGUCAUGCGAAGUUUUUGGUUUCCCAGUGCACAUAAAAGUUGAGUUUAUGCUGUAGUCUGUUAAGUGUGCAAUACCAUUAUGUCU